rnacentral:rRNA from 1 species
AUUGAACGCUGGCGGCAGGCCUAACACAUGCCAGUCGAACGAGUGGCGGACGUGUGAGUAACGUCUGGGAACCUCCCUGCUGGAGGGGGAUAACUACUGGAACCGGUAGCUAUUACCGCAUCCCAUCGGAUGUACCCCGAGUGGAUUAGCUCGUAGGUGGGGUAAAGGCUUACCUAGGCUACGAUCCCUAGCUGGUCUGCGAGGAUGACCGGCGACAAUGGCACUUAGAAACGGUCAAGACUCGUACGGGAGGCAGCAGUGGGUAAUAUUGCACAAUGGGCGAAAGCCUGAUGGAGCGAUGCGGCGUGAAUUAAGUAGGCCUUAGGGGUGUAAAGUACUGUCAGCGGGGAGGCGUUACCCGCAUAAAAAGCACCGGCUAACUCCGUGCCAGCAGCCGCGGUAAUAC